rnacentral:rRNA from 1 species
UACGUAGGGUGCAAGCGUUAAUCGGAAUUACUGGGCGUAAAGCGUGCGCAGGCGGUUAUGCAAGACAGAUGUGAAAUCCCCGGGCUCAACCUGGGAACUGCAUUUGUGACUGCAUGGCUAGAGUGCGGCAGAGGGGGAUGGAAUUCCGCGUGUAGCAGUGAAAUUCGUAGAUAUUAGGAAGAACACCAGUGGCGAAGGCGACUUUCUGGCCUGUUCUUGACGCUGAGGCGGCGAAAGCUAGGGGAGCAAACGGG